rnacentral:rRNA from 1 species
GACGAACGCUGGCGGCGUGCUUAACACAUGCAAGUCGAACGGUGAAGCGCCUUCCUUUUUGGUGGGUGUGGAUGAGUGGCGAACGGGUGAGUAACACGUGAGUAACCUGCCCCCUUCUUCUGGAUAACCGCAUGAAAGUGUGGCUAAUACGGGAUAUUCUGGGUCUGUCGCAUGAUGGGUCUGGGAAAGAUAUUGUUUCGGUGGGGGAUGGGCUCGCGGCCUAUCAGCUUGUUGGUGGGGUGAUGGCCUACCAAGGCGGUGGCGAGUAGCCGGCCUGGGAGGGUGUACGGUCACACUGGGACGGAGACACGGCCCAGACUCCUACGGGAGGCAGCAGUGGUGAAUAUUGCACAAGGGGGGAAAGCCUGAUGCAGCGACGCCGCGUGAGGGAUGGAGGCCUUCGGGUUGUGAACCUCUUUCGCCAGUGAAGCAGGCCUGCCUCGUUUGUGGGUGGGUUGACGGUAGCUGGAUAAGAAGCGCCGGCUAACUACGUG